CCUACGGGGGGCUGCAGUGGGGAAUAUUGCACAAUGGGCGCAAGCCUGAUGCAGCGACGCCGCGUGAGCGAUUAAGGCCUUCGGGUCGUAAAGCUCUUUCCUAAGGGAAGAAUAAUGACGGUACCUUAGGAGGAAGCCCCGGCUAACUACGUGCCAGCAGCCGCGGUAAUACGUAGGGGGCGAGCGUUAUCCGGAAUCACUGGGCGUCAAGGGUGCGUAGGCGGCCCUGCAAGUCAGGAGUUAAAUCCCUCGGCUCAACCGAGGUCAGCUCUUGAAGAUGUAGGGCUUGAGUGCAGGAGAGGAGGGCGGAAUACGUAGUGUAGCGGUGAAAUGCGUAGAUAUUAGGAGGAACAGAAGGGGCGAAGGCGGCUAUCUGGACUGCAACUGACGCUGAGGCACGAAAGCGUGGGGAGCGAACAGGAUUAGAUACCCGUGUAGUC
rnacentral:rRNA from 1 species